UAUACGAUGAAGAGUUUGAUCCUGGCUCAGGAUGAACGCUAGCGGCAGGCCUAACACAUGCAAGUCGAGGGGUAUAAAGAGCUUGCUUUUUAGAGACCGGCGCACGGGUGAGUAACGCGUAUGCAACCUACCUUAUACAGGGGAAUAGCCCGAAGAAAUUCGGAUUAAUGCUCCAUGGUUUAUCGAUAUGGCAUCGUAUUGAUAAUAAAGAUUUAUCGGUAUAAGAUGGGCAUGCGUAUCAUUAGCUAGUUGGUGUGGUAACGGCAUACCAAGGCGACGAUGAUUAGGGGUCCUGAGAGGGAGAUCCCCCACACUGGUACUGAGACACGGACCAGACUCCUACGGGAGGCAGCAGUGAGGAAUAUUGGUCAAUGGAGGCAACUCUGAACCAGCCAUGCCGCGUGCAGGAUGACGGUCCUAUGGAUUGUAAACUGCUUUUGUACAGGAAGAAACCUCCCUA
rnacentral:rRNA from 1 species